UACGUAGGGUCCGAGCGUUGUCCGGAGUUACUGGGCGUAAAGGGCGCGUAGGCGGCGUGUCAAGUCAGGCGUGAAAGCCCCGGGCUCAACCUGGGAACCGCGCUUGAGACUGGCAUGCUCGAGUUCGGGAGAGGAUGGUGGAAUUCCCAGUGUAGAGGUGAAAAUUCGUAGAUAUUGGGAAGAACACCGAUGGCGAAGGCAGCUUGCUGGGACGAUACUGACGCUAAGGCUCGAAAGCGUGGGGAGCGAACAGG
rnacentral:rRNA from 1 species